rnacentral:rRNA from 1 species
CACCAGGUCAGGACACGGUAAGGAUUGACGGACUGAAGGCUCUUUCUCGAUUCCGUGGAAAGUGGUGCAUGGCCGUUUUUGGUUGGUGGAUCGAUCCGUCUGGUUAAUUCCGUUAACGAACGAGACCUCGGCACUCCGAAUAGCGCGGCGGACGUCGCGGCCUCCGGGCCGUCUUCCGCACGAGCUUCUUAGAGGGACCGUCCCCCCGCCGGGGAAGGAGGUGCGAGGCAACGACAGGUCUGUGAUGCCCUUAGAUGUUCUGGGCCGCACGCGCAUUACACUGACGCGUCCAACGGGUGACUCCCGACCCGAAGGGGCCGGGGAAUCCGCAAGGCGCGUCGUGAUGGGGAUUGAACGUUGCAAUUGUUGUUCACGAACGAGGAAUUCCUAGUAGGCGCGGGUCAUCAACCCGCGCCGAUUACGUCCCUGCCCUUUGUACACACCGCC